UGCACCCUGAGCUCAGUCGUGACUACCCGCUGAACUUAAGCAUAUCACUUAGCGGAGGAAAAGAAACUAA
rnacentral:rRNA from 1 species